UUUAGAACUCGAGAUAUGAGCUGGAAACUGAACAGUGUCUGGGAUGCUAAACAAUUCCAACUUCUCCAUUGUUGCUACCAUUUAAACUCGAAAAUGGCACUUUUAAAUCUUGGACUCUUCAUGAAAGUUUUAAGCCUAUGUCGUAGCUUUCCAUU
rfam:Populus trichocarpa scaffold_28_contig_2, whole genome shotgun sequence.